rnacentral:rRNA from 1 species
UACGUAGGGGGCAAGCGUUGUCCGGAAUCAUUGGGCGUAAAGCGCGUGUAGGCGGUUCAGUAAGUCUGCUGUGAAAGUCCAGGGCUCAACCCUGGGAUGCCGGUGGAUACUGCUGGGCUAGAGUACGGAAGAGGCGAGUGGAAUUCCUGGUGUAGCGGUGAAAUGCGCAGAUAUCAGGAGGAACACCGAUGGCGAAGGCAGCUCGCUGGGACGGUACUGACGCUGAGGCGCGAAAGCGUGGGGAGCGAACAGG